CCUACGGGAGGCAGCAGUAAGGGAUAUUGGUCAAUGGGGGAAACCCUGAUCCAGCAACGCCGCGUGAAGGAAGACGGUUUUCGGAUUGUAAACCUCUGUCCUCUGUGAAGAUGGUGACGGUGGCAGAGGAGGAAGCUCCGGCUAACUACGUGCUAGCAGCCGCGGUAGUACGAAGGGGGCGAGCGUUGUCAGGAUUUACUGGGUGGAACGAGUGCGUAGGCGGCAUGGCAAGUCAGUAGUGAAAUCCAUGGGCUUAACCCAUGAACUGCUAUAGAAAGUGUCUAGCUUGAGUGAAGUAGAGGCAGGCGGAAUUCCUGGUGUAGCGGUGAAAUGCGUAGAGAUCAGGAGGAACACCAGUGGCGAAGGCGGCCUACUGGGCUUUAACUGACGCUGAGGCACGAAAGCGUGGGGAGCAAACAGGAUUAGAUACCCCUGUAGUC
rnacentral:rRNA from 1 species